CAAUGGGGGAAACCCUGNAUGCAGCGCACGCCGCCGUGAAGGAAGAAGUAUCUCGCCUAUGUAAACUUCUAUCAGCAGGGNAAGAUAGUGACGGUACCUGCACUAAGAAGCCCCGGCUAACUACGUGCCAGCAGCCGCGGUAAUACGUAGGGGGCAAGCGUUAUCCGGAUUUACUGGGUGUAAAGGGAGCGUAGACGGUGUGGCAAGUCUGAUGUGAAAGGCAUGGGCUCAACCUGUGGACUGCAUUGGAAACUGUCAUACUUGAGUGCCGGAGGGGUAAGCGGAAUUCCUAGUGUAGCGGUGAAAUGCGUAGAUAUUAGGAGGAACACCAGUGGCGAAGGCGGCUUACUGGACGGUAACUGACGUUGAGGCUCGAAAGCGUGGGGAGCAAACAGGAUUAGAUACCCUGGUAGUCCAAGGGCGAAUUC
rnacentral:rRNA from 1 species